CUUUAUUGAAACUUCGGUCGAUUUAAUUUAAUUCUAGUGGCGGACGGGUGAGUAACGCGUGGGUAACCUGCCUUAUACAGGGGGAUAACAGUCAGAAAUGGCUGCUAAUACCGCAUAAGCGCACAGAGCUGCAUGGCUCAGUGUGAAAAACUCCGGUCGUAUAAGAUGGACCCGCGUUGGAUUAGCUGGUUGGUGGGGUAACGGCCCACCAAGGCGACGAUCCAUAGCCGGCCUGAGAGGGUGAACGGCCACAUUGCGACUGAGACACGGCCCAGACUCCUACGGGAGGCAGCAGUGGGGAAUAUAGCACAAUGGGGGAAACCCUGAUGCAGCGACGCCGCGUGAAGGAAGAAGUAUCUCGGUAUGUAAACUUCUAUCAGCAGGGAAGAUAGUGACGGUACCUGACUAAGAAGCCCCGGCUAACUACGUGCCAGCAGCCGCGGUAAUACGUAGGGGGCAAGCGUUAUCCGGAUUUACUGGGUGUAAAGGGAGCGUAGACGUGCAAGGCAAGUCUGAUGUGAAAACCCAGGGCUUAACCUUGGGACUGCAUUGGAAACUGUCUGGCUCGAGUGCCGGAGAGGUAAGCGGAAUUCCUAGUGUAGCGGUGAAAUGCGUAGAUAUUAGGAAGAACACCAGUGGCGAAGGCGGC
rnacentral:rRNA from 1 species